rnacentral:rRNA from 1 species
ACUUAAAUUGAAGAGUUUGAUCAUGGCUCAGAUUGAACGCUGGCGGCAGGCCUAACACAUGCAAGUCGAGCGGUAGCACAGAGAGCUUGCUCUCGGGUGACGAGCGGCGGACGGGUGAGUAAUGUCUGGGAAACUGCCUGAUGGAGGGGGAUAACUACUGGAAACGGUAGCUAAUACCGCAUAAUGUCGCAAGACCAAAGUGGGGGACCUUCGGGCCUCAUGCCAUCAGAUGU